rnacentral:lncRNA from 10 species
CAGCCAGCGAAUGGCAGGCCAGGGCACCAGGGCCUAGGUCUGCCUGCCUCUUCCAUCCACCUUCUGUCAUCACAAGCCUUCUGAUCUCCAGCCCUCUGAUCUGCCCCAGUGGGACCCUCCUGCGUCUCUGCUCUAGUUGUAGAGGACCCAUCAGGCACUUAGAGAGAAAUGAGUGGUGUUGUGAACAUUCGACUGUGUCCAUGUGGAAUCCACACACACAGUUUGCCUGAAAAUGACUGAUAGGAUGGAAACUGACAAGUCAUCAUCCGCUUCGGGCACCAGCGAUGACUGGUUAACAUGAAUAUUGUGUUGAUUUCCGCUAGAUAGAAGAAGAUGUCACUUGUCGUUAAUGGGGUGUCACACGUACACUUGCCUAAAGGAAAAUGCUCUUUUGGUGAUUGUUCUCAAUUUUCACCUCAUUUUAUAGCCAUAAAAAAGAAAAGAUUCAGCAGAAAGGAUGAAUCCACCUAGGGGUAGGAUGGAAAGGCAUUCUUCUCAUUUAUUUCCUUCUUUCUUUACCAGAACAACCAAAACCCAGUGAAAAUGCUGGUGCAAGUCAGAAGAGGGGGACCUGGGUUCUAAGAGCAGCCAGGUACUCUGGGCUUCAGAUCAGAGCCUCAGAAUCCAGCAGUUAUGCCCACAAGGUAGCCAAAGUCCAGCCAGUACCACCGGUCUCUCGGCCAGCUAUACUUGCCUCUGCUCAACAAUGAUGAUUUGAACGUACAUGUACAAAUAAUAACAGAUAACAUUACUGAGCACUUUACUAUGAACUAUGGAAUGUGCUAGGUAAAGACGUUACUCCACGUAAGCCAUAAAAUCAACCUAUGGGGCAGGUGCAGAUCCACAAACCCUGAUUUAAGAAUUCUGAAUCCUCAAAAGCUUUGAAAACCAAAACAUUUUUUCAUACGUGGUAAUAUGGUAAAAUACUUUGGAGGAACUGGAUGUAUUUUUCCUCUGGUCUCCAGAGAAGAAACUGAGACGACAGCAAGUCACAGAUUCAAGCUGUGUUCAUAAUGUGUUUCCACGUGGAGGUCACACUUUCAUGUUCAUGGGCAGAUGAAUUCUAACACCAAACACCAGGCUGAAUAGGUGUUCCCAUUGCAAGAGAAGUGCUGUGCACAAUUUUUAUUUGCAUUUCAAAACCCUAACAAAUGGCCACAAUCAACUACUACAAAUUUCUCCUAAUUAGUUUUAGUCUGCACUUCUGUCACCUUUAGGAGAGAGCCAAAGAUUUUAACCUUCAAAAUUAUCAGCAAUGCAUGUCAGAAAGCAUUUCAAAGAAGAGUCAAAGUGCAUGUAGAAACUAAUUGCUGUAUCUGAAAGUGCUGUUUGAAGAAUUUUUCAGUCUUCAGAGAAGCAAGUUCCCCACCCCUUGGGAAAACUAGUCUUCAAACUAAAAGUUUCCCCAAAUCAUAUACCUGAGAAAAAUGUUAAAACAGACUUACCCAAAAAGGCAAAGAAAUAAAACUGUAAGAAUAAAUAAAUCAGAAAUCAGAUGUCUCUCCCCUGUUUAAAAUCCUCCAACAGCUUCCUACUUUACUUGGAAUAAAACGCAAUUCCUUUACCAUCACCUUCCAGGCCUCAUGUGGUCUGUCCCCCACCCAUUUCUUCCAUUUUUUUUUCAUUCUGUGUUCCCCUUCACAAACUGCUCCAAACAUACCAGUCUUUGUUGUUGUUUGCUUCAAACACAUCAAGUAUAUUCUCGCUUCAACUACUUUGCUCUUGGUAUUCCUCCUUCCUAGAAAGAUUCCCUAAAUAUUCCCCAACUCCCCUACCCACGGAUACCAGGCUCCGUUGCACAGGAUCGCCAACACACAAGGUGACUUAGACCCGAGGUAACUUUUUCUGAUUCACACAAAAGAACCAUAUGGGCUAGAGCAGUCCUGCUUACCUACAAUGAUUCAUUCAUUUCUAGAACAAAUGUUAAUUGAGCACCUACUAUGAGGUAAGCACUGUUCUGGGCACUGGAAUUAUAGCCUUGAACAGACAGACAAGGCCUUUGCCUUUUGGAAGCUCACAUACUAGUAGGCUGAGGCACACAAUGGAUGACAAUUUAACAAUAAGCGAAUAAGCAAAAUAUCAGAAAGUAGCCAGAGUGCACAGACAACCUGACGUGGUUAUAUGACAGUGACUGAAUGGUAGGUAGUCAAAGAAGGCCUCCUAGAGGUGGUGAUACUUGUCGUGAAAUCUAAAUGGCAACAAGGAAUCAUCAUGGAAUGCCAUGCCUCCCCUCCCCAACCCCAUUUGUUUGUUUGGGGAGGGGAGGCACGGCAUUCCAUGCAGAGGAAACCCAAGGUGUGAACUUUCACAAAGGCCCCAAGUAGUGCACAAUCAAUUUGUUUUAGAAACAAGAAGUUGGAAAGUAAUGGCUAGAGAAGAGAAAGUCAAAGAUAAGGCCAGACAGGUGGGAAGGAGCCAGGUGAUGUGGGGCUCUACAAGUCAGAAUAAAGAAUUUGAAGCUGGGUGUGGUGGCUCAUGCCUGUAAUGCCAACACUUAGGGAGGCCGAGGUGAGCAGAUAACUUGAGGUAAGGAGUUCGAGACCUGCCUGGCCAACAUGAUGAAACCCCGUCUCUACCAAAAAUACAAAAAUUAGCUGCUUGUGAUGGUGCACACCUGUAGAUCCCAGCUACUCAGGAGGCUGAGGCAUGAGAAUCACUUGAACCCAGCAGGCGGAGGUUGCAGUGAGUUGAGAUCACGGAUCGUGUCCCUGCACUCCAGCCUGGGCAACAGAAUGAGACUCCGUCUCAAAAAGCAAAAAAAAAAAAAAAAAAAAAAGGAAGAAGAAGAAUUUGAGCUUUAUUCUAAAGUGAGCUAUGAAAAUAUUUGAGGUUUUAAGCAGGGAGGUCCAUGAGCUGGCGUCUAUUUUGGAAAGAUCACUCUAACUCAGGGUUGUCAAAAAUAACUUUCUGCAAUGAAGUCCUAUAUCCACAUUGUCAGGUGCAGUAGCCACUAGCCAUGUGUGGCUACUGAGUACCUAAAAUUUGACUGGUGUGACCCAGAAACUGGAUAUUUAAUUUUAUUCUAUUUUAAUUAAUUUUCAUUUAAAUAUUCACAUGUGGCUGGUGGCUACUCUAUUGAUCAGCACACCUGAACAGCUGCAUGAAGAAUACAUGAAGGGUGUGGGGAAAGAUGAGAGUACAAGCAGGAAGAUUAAUCAGGAGGCUACCACAGUGGUCCAGGGGAGAGAUGGUAGCUGCAAGCAGAGAUGGAGAGAAGAAUACCUUUCAGGGUGGAGCCAAGAGUGUGAGAGGGAGAAAGGAAGAAUGAGGAAUCGUGGAUACCACCUAGAUUUGUGGUUUCAGAACCAAAUGGAUGGUGGUGCCAUUUUGAUCUGGGAAAGACUGAGGAAGUAGUACGUUUUGGGGAGGAAAAAAAACCUUGAAAAUAACCAGCUCCUCCCCAAGUCUUCAUGUGGCAGCUUCCCUCUUAACUUUUGGACCUAAAAUGUCAGCUCAAAUGUCACCUCCCCAGAGGAACUGUUGCAAUCUCCACCCCACUUCUUUAUCCCAUCCUCUCUCUCUCUCUGUGUGUGUUUGUGUGUGUGUGUGUGCAUCAUAUUGCUCCAUUGUUCUCCUCCCUGUAGAUUAUCUGCAAUUAUUUAAUCACGAAUGCAUUGCCUCUCUCUUCUCCAAACUGUAAACUCUCUGUGCAGCGACCUCAGCCCCUUUUCCCACAGUGGUCCCACCUACCUGGAACAGUAUCUGGCACAUAGCAGGUACUUAAAUAUGAAUUAUUAAACAAACAGGAAUAAUUAUCUUGCCAAACAAAACACGGCUAAAGCCUCAAAGAGUAUGUUUCUGGUUUGAAUUUCAGACAACAUAAAAUAGAAGAAGACAAAGUAUGCUCACACACCUGCUCAAAUAAUUGUUGGGAUAUAACUGGGAAAUAAUUAAUUGGGAUACAUUUUGUUUGGGGUUAUUUUACCAGUACUCCAUUUAUUCAGAAAACUGAGUAUAGUUUCCAGGUAAUGAGCCACCUCAUCUGACAGAUGCAGAAGAGAGAUGCUAAUCAGGACGGUGAUUCCUAGCACUACAGUCCCAUUUCUCUCCCAGAGUAUUUGGGGAGACAGCUGAGAGUGUGUAGAAUGAAAGCAGGGUAAUCCCAGGCUGCCAUUUUUGAAAGUUCAGAGUGUCCUUAAGAGCCACUUGCCCUUAGUUAAGCACACCACCAUCACCCACCCAUAUCCCGCCAACCAGCAGCAGAUGCUACCCCAGCUGAACAGGUGUACGUGGCUCAAUGCAAUGAGAAGGGACUUUGCAAUUAAACAGAUAAUAAUUUGAAUUCAGUUUUAAGGUCUUGAGAAAAUUGCAUAGCUUCUCUGAUCACCAUUCCCCAUCUGAACUCCCCAACAACCAAAACCUCUAGAUAUUUUCUUGCCAACUACAGCUAAGCCACAUCACCCCCAAAUUUUUAAGCCCCAGAGUACAUCUUUGCAUUUACUUGCUUCAGCAAGUUAAGCAGGAGUUUCACUCAACUUUGUCAUUAUUUUUCCCACUCUCCUCUCCAACUUCAUUCUCUCUGUAAACGCAUCAUACCUCAGUGCACGCGCGCACACACACACACACACAUAAUCAUACAAUUCCACACCCACAGACACACACAGAGCUUCUCUGCAGCUUCUUUCACUCUACACUGACUCACAGUCGUGAGAACACAUUUCCUUUUCCUCUUCACAGGCUCCUGAAAUGAGAUCAUAUCUGCUAAAAGCAAUCGCAAGUGCUGGGUGAACAACUCCAGAAAAUUAGUACAAGUUCCACUACGGCUAGAGACAGAGAAGAGGAAAAAUCUGUUCAAUUUUGACUGUAUUCGCAUUACCCACAAAAGGAAACAUACUUCUUAUUUCUUCCACUUAUCCCAAUCCUUAACAAAAAUUAAAACAAAAGCUAUAAGCUAUUUCCAGCACUACCC